UUAUAACUAGUUGAGCCAACUGUGCUCUUUUCCCCAAGCAGGCAGUGUGCAAUGGCUGCAAAGAGCAGCCUCCUCGGUAGUGUAGGCAGCCUGCUGCCCGUACAGGUUGCCCUAAGGGACCUUGGAGACAACU
ensembl:snoRNA SNORA70 Small nucleolar RNA SNORA70